rnacentral:rRNA from 1 species
ACUGAAACUCAAAGGAAUUGACGGGGGCCCGCACAAGCGGUGGAGCAUGUGGUUUAAUUCGACGCAACGCGCAGAACCUUACCAGCCCUUGACAUGUCCAGGACCGGUCGCAGAGAUGUGACCCUCUCUUCGGAGCCUGGAGCACAGGUGCUGCAUGGCUGUCGUCAGCUCGUGUCGUGAGAUGUUGGGUUAAGUCCCGCAACGAGCGCAACCCCCGUCCUUAGUUGCUACCAUUUAGUUGAGCACUCUAAGGAGACUGCCGGUGAUAAGCCGCGAGGAAGGUGGGGAUGACGUCAAGUCCUCAUGGCCCUUACGGACUGGGCUACACACGUGCUACAAUGGCGGUGACAAUGGGAAGCAAAGGGGCAACCCCUAGCAAAUCUCAAAAAGCCGUCUCAGUUCGGAUUGGGCUCUGCAACCCGAGCCCAUGAAGUUGGAAUCGCUAGUAAUCGUGGAUCAGCAUGCCACGGUGAAUACGUUCCCGGGCCUUGUACACACCGCCCGUCACACCAUGGGAGUUGGUUUUACCUGAAGGCGGUGCGCUAACCCGCAAGGGAGGCAGCCGACCACGGUAGGGUCA